AUACGUAGGUGACAAGCGUUAUCCGGAUUUACUGGGCGUAAAGGGCGUGUAGGCGGUCUUGCAAGUCAGAAGUGAAAUUCCUGAGCUCAACUCGGGCGCUGCUUCUGAAACUGCAGGCCUUGAGUGCUGGAGGGGAUAGCGGAAUUCCUAGUGGAGCGGUAAAAUGCGCAGAUAUUAGGAAGAACACCGGUGGCGAAGGCGGCUAUCUGGACUAUAACUGACGCUGAGGCGAGAAAGCGUGGGGAGCAAACAGGAUUAGAUCCCCUGGGAGUCCACGCUGUAAACGAUGAAUACUAGGUGUAGGGGGUAUCGACUCCCUCUGUGCCGCAGUUAACACAAUAAGUAUUCCGCCUGGGGAGUACGGCCGCAAGGUUGAAACUCAAAUGAAUUGACGGGG
rnacentral:rRNA from 1 species